UACGUAGGGUGCAGGCGUUAAUCGGAAUUACUGGGCGUAAAGCGUGCGCAGGCGGUUUGCUAAGACAGGUGUGAAAUCCCCGGGCUUAACCUGGGAACUGCGCUUGUAACUGGCAAGCUAGAGUGUGGCAGAGGGGGGUGGAAUUCCACGUGUAGCAGUGAAAUGCGUAGAGAUGUGGAGGAACACCGAUGGCGAAGGCAGCCCCCUGGGCUA
rnacentral:rRNA from 1 species